CGGCCCCCCCGCUGCGGCCGAGCGCCCUUGGCGGGCGGCGCAUGCGCGCGGCAGGGAGCAAGAUGGCGGCGAGCGGGAAGGGCGUUUUUGCUCGGCGGCAGCGGCAGCGGCGAGUGAGGGCCGAGGCCGCCUGGAGUGGAGCAUGGGGGGCCCCCGCUGCCCCAAAGCCAUGGGCUUCCCUGGUGCAGCCUGUGUCGAUGGGUCCUCCGUUGCCUCUGACGUCUCCCCAGGCACUCGUAUGCUGCGCAGGGGCCUGGAUGUCCCAGCAGCGGCACAGCAGCCGGAUGCCUCCUCUCGUCUGGGACACAGGGUCCUUCGCCGCUCUUCUGGGAUGCAGGUCCCUUGAUUGAUUGCUGUGGCUGAAGCUGAAGAGACUAAAAAGUGUGAGCAAGCGGAAGUAAUAAAAUUGAAUGGAACUGGGUGAAAACUGUCUCCCUCUGCCAGCAAAAGGGAAAGCCCGUUCCUCCUGCCGAGGAAGGAUCGCUGUUAAUAGUGAUCCGAAUGAUAGAUCACCAACAUAUAAGGGAAGGUCUGUACACGUUACAAAAAGUAUGCUGCGUACAUUCAUUUCUGUGCAUGUGACUUUACGUGUCUGUGAAGCAUCGUACUUUAAGAGCUACGAGACAGCGAAUUAUUAUCUUGGGGGAAUGGUGGUCAGGCGACCAGAGUUACUGAGGAGGAAGUGAGAGUGAGAGAACGAGAGAGAGAAAUGUCUGAAGUGUCUCAAUAAUAAUAAUUAUUAUUUAUUAUUGUUUAUUAUUAUUUGUGAAUGUCUCAAUUAGUGCAACCGCCGGUAUAGUUACUUGGCAAUGGUAUUUGGGGAAACAAGAAGAUGGUGGAUAGAAGAAAGGUUAAAGCCUUGUGGAAUUAAGGCUCCUUCUUGUCGGUUCCAUCUUGGAGCAAUUUUAGGAGGAUUUAAUUUCCUCCAGGAGCGUUAACGUGGCUUUGCCGGUAUCAGUUGGGAACGGAGCUGGAACAAGGAACGUGACGCUGCUUUCACUAAACCGGGAGAAGUGGCUGUAACGCCUCCUGCCCUCAAAUUCCCAGGACAAGGCAAGCCUUUGCUUUCCACAUCUGCUGACUGCCUGGCAGCAGCACUGUUAGAAAACAGCGGUGGUAAGGGAAAGUGGGUGCCAGUAGCGUGAUCCUUACGUCCCCUUUGGGGCCAGAACAGAAAUUCUCUGGCUGUGAGAAAGACUGUUUAGCAGUGAUCUGGGCUGACACUGUCUUUGAGACUUCUACCCUUGAUAACACAGAGGCAGUCCAAUCUGCUCAAUUCCCUCCAAAGGGGUAACGUCAGGGAAAUAAAUAGACAGCAAGUGGCACAGUGGGCACUAACCUUAACGAGUGGAGGGGGCAUGGGGGGGGUUGCUGUGCAAGUGUUACAAGCAGUAGAUCUUCCUGUGUGUGUCUGAAUUGAUGGAGGGGCAGAGCACGGUUGUGCCAAAAGUGCAGACGCAGAAGGUUUCUGAAAGAUUACUCUCUAGCGGCUACUUAGUCUAACUUCCCUUUUGCAGCAAGCCCAGCUGUUGUCGUAGCUCCCAAAGCAGGGGUUGGGGGAAGCGGUAUUUGUGGCUCGCAUAUUCACAUUUACCUUGCUUGUGUGCGUAUUAGAUGCGCUUUUGUGCUUAUAAACCACUUUGGAUUCUUACGGUUUUCUGCAGAGCUUUGAUUUUUUUUCUCUCUUUUCCUUGUUUUCUUUCUUUCUUUGCUCUAUAUUUUUGUAGGGGGUUGGAUUUUACUAUGCCUCCAUCAACGAGCGCUGGCUGGCAAAGUUGUUGUGUCCCAAUGGAGACUCUUAGGCGAGAUGGAGGAGUUGAGAUCCGCAGCCAGCCAGAAGAACGUCGCCCGGGAGAGGUUGCUAGCCUCAAGCUGUAGGCGCUGGCAUUCAGGACCUCGGGGAACGACUGCAUGCUGCCGUGAAGAACUACAGGCUACCGCCGCCCUCGGACCUUCGUAAGUUGUCACAUGUCAAGAGCGGCCAGGAGAAUCCAAACGGCGGCGGAAAGGUUCUCUGCCUGGUCUUGACGAGGAGCCUUCGGCCGUAGGAAGGUUGGCCGUGUCCUUAUCGGACUUGUUACUGUUCUGAGGGCCGGCAACUCGAAGAGGAGCAGCUCAGCCCGUUUUGUUGGUUUCGGUGAUACUGUUUUGAGGAAGCGCGGCCCAUCUGUCAGCUAACAAAUAAAGAAGACGGAACAGCCUAUCCACAUAGGAGAGAGCUGACACAGGAGAACUGAUAUACGGUAAAUGUAAACGCCCUAGACCUCUGGUACGUCACCGGAAUUUGUUUAGAUCUGUGCGUUCAAAUCUGUAGUUCCGCAUUCGGAACGUGGCAUUUGCCCAAGUAUCUAAUUCCUUUGUGUCGUGUGGAAGCCACUGCACGGCUGCCAGUCUCUACACCAGGUUAUCGGAGAGAAUGAGAAUGCUGCGUUUCAACUCAUGACUGCAAAAGAGGCUCCUUUCUGUCCAGUUUCAGAAUUAUGACCUACUUCAUCAUUCUGCUUUGACGUUGUUUCUCAGCAGGAAUGGUAGCGCUUUAACCAUGCAGCGGUUGAAACCGGUAAUGUGUAGGCCAGCGCAGUUAUGCUGUACCGUUCUUUGAUAUGCAUUUCAUCCUUGUAUCAGGCUUCUGGGAAAAUAAAUGGUACAGAGUUCCCGAAGGUGCGCCUUUAAAUAGGCGGUAAAUCUAGAGGCGUGUCUGAAUUCCAAGUGGCUUGUAACUUCAUAUCUGUCUUCAGCAUAUACUUUUCUGUCGCUCUUAUUCCAGGCUUACCUCCGACAAUCUGUAUCACUGUGGUGUAUUGCAUUUCACAGGCAGCGAUAUAUUCAACGAGAACAUGAGAACUCCUGCUCUGCAGCGGGCUCCGUAAUUGAUGACCACGGGAUCCAUGCUCCGGGCCGGUCACUUUAGGCCUUUGUGCAGAGUAUUCUUUCUAGUCUCAUGCCCCGUGUGAUCCUCUCCUUCCACUGUUUUCCCAAGGGAUUGGAAAUGCUUCUGGUAAGUCCUGUAGUUUCCUAAAUUUUCCACUGUGUCCCUGCUGGUAUUGGAUACCAUUAUAGCAGAGAGAGGCAGCCUACGUAUGCACAAGGAAUGUUGAGGCACAAAGAAGUUGCCUCUUUGGCCCACCAGAUCUACUUCAGAGAGUUUUAUUUUUGACCUAGAGCUUGGGUCUUUCAGCGCCAUGCACAGCCUGCGCUGGUUUCCCCGUUCUUUUAACAAGGUUAUUGAUGCCCUUCAGUUGUUUCUUCGGGGUGGGGUGGGGGGUUGCUGCAGCAAUUGCUGGGGAGGCCCUGACCGCGGCAUGUGGAAAAGACACCUUUUGACUGCAUCCAGCCAAAGAAAUGUAGGCCGAAGGAUCGGAGUAAAUGACUGCUUGUCUAGGUCUGUUACCUAGCAACACAUUGUCAGAGUUUUUUUAUGAGCAAUCAUACUCGAUCAAGUGCAUAUUCAUUCCGUGAAUAUUACUGCAAGAGUGUGUACGUUACUGAUCCUUUAAAGCGAGUCUGUGGCGCUGGUAGGGUAGCGUGUGUUCUGAAGAUUAAAUCCAAGAGCAACUCAAUUUGAUGCUGUUCUCUUAAACAAAAGCACUUGGAGCAGAUUAAAACAUUUAUCGUCCUGUUUUGUUUAUUGAAUGGACCGUGAGACUCGGAAAAACCUGCAGCGAAGGAGACACGGUAUUCAGCUUCCUUGGAGAAGGUGUCUUGUCCUGUACUUUAGGGCUUCCUGUACAUUUUGACAGCAGUGAAUGACCGGUCUCCUUUGAACCCCUGGGCAGCAGAAGGUUCUGACUGGGAGGCAAAAUGUUUCUUCUGGCGAUUUUGAAGAAGCUGGCUACCAGUCAGAAGUAAUGACAAUUCUGUGGAGUCACUGCAGUUUUUAAAAGAGUCGUCACCUUUUAUGGAAGGCGAUGCACUUUCGUUACUGAUCCCUGUAGUAAUCAAGCCACGUAAGUGAUACGUAGGAGGUCAAGCCCAUUAGUCUUUUUCACACAGUAAUAGCCUUUAGGCUGUGAUGGCUCUUAUUAAAAAAAAAAAAAAAAAAAGCCCAGAUAUUUUAGAAACUGAACAAGCCUUGUUAGCUUGUUUCCUGUAGUACCGCAAAAGGUGAUCAGAAUACUAAUGUUUUCCUGCUUUAAUGUGGUAGACAUACGCUGUGCAAACAUCUCUUACUGUUUAAUAAUAAAAACUGAGCGGUCCGUUGAGACACUAA